CCCUUAGAUGUUCUGGGCUGCACGCGUGCUACACUGAUAUUGCCAAUAUGUCAUUCUUAUCCGAAAUGGAUUGGGUAAUCAAGUAAUGAAAUUUCAUGCUUGGAAUCGGUAAUUGCAAUUUUAUCGUGAACGAGGAAUUCCUAGUAAGCACUAGUCAUCAGCUAAUGUUGAUUAUGUCCCUGCCCUUUGUACACACCGCCCGUCGCUACUACUGAUUGCGUGUUCAAGUGAGAUGCUUAGACCCUUGUUGCAUGGUUCAUUAUUGUGCUCCGAAAGGAAAAAGUUUCAAGCUUGAGUGUCUAGAGGAAGUAAAAGUCGUAACA
rnacentral:rRNA from 1 species